rnacentral:tRNA from 1 species
CGCGAUGUAGCUCAGCCAGGUAGAGCAACGGGUUCAUACCCCGUAUGUCGGCCGUUCGAAUCGGCCCAUCGCAACCA